rnacentral:lncRNA from 1 species
UUGCGGAAUGCCAUAUUUAUUCGAUAAUUUAGUUAUGGUACAAAAAUCUUAUCCUGUCCUUCUCCUCUUAAAGUAGAGCAUCCAAGGACCUGCUCUCUUAAUUUUGCCUAUGCACCUGCAUCAAAAGUUAUUUCUUUCUUAUAGAGCUAUUUACACCAACCUUCUUUACAAGGUCACAAACUUCUACCCUAAAAACAUACAGUGAAAUUUGUUAUGAAGGAACAAAAGAAAACAUAUAGUGAAAUGAAAAAUUCUUCUUUGCUUGCAAAAGCCACGUGGAGAACACUCUUGACACUUGCAUCACAAGUUACACCAAAAGACCUACUUCCUUGAACAUACCAUCAUCUCCUUCCUCUCAUAUUACCCAUAUGAUUCCAUUCUCUAGCCUCACUUGCAGGCAAAGACAUGGAAGCUCCUGACCCCAAAAUCUUUCCUUAAAUGAGGUGGUUCGAUGGCAACAUGAACUCACAAGGGAAUUAAUUCCUGCAUCAUCUGCCUCUGAUGUCUUUUAUGUCCUUCACUGAACCUCCAAGCUUCUCUGGAGGAGGUGUCAUGAACCCAUGCACACCGGUAUUGAAUUCGGUCAUCUCGAACGCUACAGCAGCUGAAGAGAUGAUAUACUUGUGGUUAUCCGGCGGAGGGGUCAUGAACAUGUUGAUAUUGGCAUUGAAUUCGGUGUUGUUGGACAGUGCUGCACCUGAGGAGAGACACUUGUAGUGACGUCUAGACUUGUUUCUCUUGAUAGCUCUAUAGACCAAGGGUAUCAGUCCCUCCAUUUUUGCAUGCAGGUGGGGGAAG